UACGAAGGGUGCUAGCGUUGUUCGGCAUUACUGGGCGUAAAGCGCGCGUAGGCGGCUAUCCAAGUCAGGGGUGAAAUCCUUGGGCUCAACCCAAGAAUUGCCUUUGGAACUGGAUAGCUAGAGUGUCGGAGGGGAUAGCGGAAUUCCUAAUGUAGAGGUGAAAUGCGUAGAUAUUAGGAGGAACACCGGUGGCGAAGGCGGCUAUCUGGACGACAACUGACGCUGAGGCGCGAAAGCACGGGGAUCAAACAGG
rnacentral:rRNA from 1 species